GCCAUAGCUUAGUGGUAGGGCAGCUGCCUUGCAUGCAGAAGGUCCUAGGUUCAAUCCCCGAUAUCUCCA
rnacentral:tRNA from 1 species